rnacentral:rRNA from 1 species
ACGCAUUAAGUACUCCGCCUGGGAAGUACGCUCGCAAGAGUGAAACUCAAAGGAAUGGACGGGGACCCGCACAAGUAGCGGAGCAUGUGGUUUAAUUCGAAGCAACGCGAAGAACCUUACCUAAGCUGGACAUCCCAAUGACAUCUCCUUAAUCGGAGAGUUCCUUUCGGGGACAUUGGGGACAGGUGGUGCAUGGUUGUCGUCAGCUCGUGUCGUGAGAUGUUGGGUUAAGUCCCGCAACGAGCGCAACCCUUGUCUUUAGUUGCCAUCAUUAAGUUGGGCACUCUAGAGAGACUGCCAGGGAUAACCUGGAGGAAGGUGGGGAUGACGUCAAAUCAUCAUGCC